GGAUGAACGCUGGCGGCGUGCUUACCACAUGCAAGUCGAACGAUGAAGCCCAGCUUGCUGGGUGGAUUAGUGGCGAACGGGUGAGUAACACGUGAGUAACCUGCCCUUAACUCUGGGAUAAGCCUGGGAAACUGGGUCUAAUACCGGAUAGGAGCGUCCACCGCAUGGUGGGUGUUGGAAAGAUUUAUCGGUUUUGGAUGGACUCGCGGCCUAUCAGCUUGUUGGUGAGGUAAUGGCUCACCAAGGCGACGACGGGUAGCCGGCCUGAGAGGGUGACCGGCCACACUGGGACUGAGACACGGCCCAGACUCCUACGGGAGGCAGCAGUGGGGAAUAUUGCACAAUGGGCGCAAGCCUGAUGCAGCGACGCCGCGUGAGGGAUGACGGCCUUCGGGUUGUAAACCUCUUUCAGUAGGGAAGAAGCGAAAGUGACGGUACCUGCAGAAGAAGCACCGGCUAACUACGUG
rnacentral:rRNA from 1 species